rnacentral:rRNA from 1 species
AAACGGGAAGAGCCUAAACCCAAUUGGUGUCAAGCCUGAUGGCGUUGCCUGUUGGGGGUUGUGGGAGCAAGAAGUCGGUGCAUCAGAACUGACACGAAGUUACAAAUCUGCUGUGUAGUGGAAUCAACUGGAAAGUUGAGCCAUAGAGGGUAAUGGCCCCGUACACGAAACUCAGCAGACUUCGUCUUGAUUUCCCGAGUAGCACUGGUUCCGUGAAGGCCAGUGUGAAUCUGCGAGGACCACCUCGUAAGGCUAAGUACAAGUAGGCGACCGAUAGUGAACUAGUACCGUGAGGGAAAGGUGAAAAGUACCCCGGGAGGGGAGUGAAAUAGUACCUGAAACCAUUGGUUUACAAGCAGUUGAAGCGGGCUAGUCCCGCGACAGCGUGCCUUUUGAAGAAUGAGCCAGCGAGUUACGGUAUGUGGCAAGGUUAACCAGCGAUGGGAAGCCGGAGCGAAAGCGAGUCUGAACAGGGCGUUCAGUCGCAUGCUGUAGACCCGAAGCCGGGUGAUCUAUCCAUGGGCAGGGUGAAGCGAGGGUAAGACCUCGUGGAGGCCCGAACCGACCUAGGUUGAAAACUGGGCGGAUGACCUGUGGAUAGGGGUGAAAGGCCAAACAAACCCGGAGAUAUCUGGUUCUCCCCGAAAUGCAUUUUGGUGCAGCGUCGCACGUUCAGUCUCGGAGGUAGAGCACUGGAAGGGUUAGGGGGCCUACAAGCUUACCGACCCCUACCAAACUCCGAAUGCCGGGACUCCAGAGUGCGGCAGUGAGACCAUGGGGGAUGAGCUUCAUGGUCGAAAGGGAAACAGCCCAGAACACCGGCUAAGGUCCCAAAAUAUGGAUUAAGUGGAAAACGAUGUGAGGCCGCAAAAACAGCCAGGAGGUUGGCUUAGAAGCAGCCACCCUUUAAAGAGUGCGUAACAGCUCACUGGUCGAGUGGCCUUGCGCGGAUAAUGUAACGGGGCUAAAUCCAUUACCGAAGCCGUGUCUUUCAUACGUAAGUAUGGAGGGGUAGGGGAGCGUCGUAUUUGCACUGAAGCAGAGGUGUGAACGUCUGUGGAGCGGAUACGAGUGAGAAUGCUGGCAUGAGUAGCGUAGAGAGGGGUGAGAAACCCCUCCGCCGAAAGCCCAAGGGUUCCUGGGGAAGGCUAUUCCACCCAGGGUAAGUCGGGAGCUAAGGCGAGGCCGAAAGGCGUAGUCGAUGCACAACUGGUUGAUAUUCCAGUACCACCACGUGCGCGUCCAUUCCAAUCAGAACUUGCUAAGGGGCUGUCCUUCCUUUCGGAAACGACGAACCGACCCAGUUCUAGGCGGAAAGCAAUGAGGGGACGCAGGAGGAUAAGUGAGCCCGGGCGAUGGUAGUCCCGGGGUAAGCGAGUAGGGCGAGGUCUAGGUAAAUCCGGACCUCACGAAGCCUGAGACGCGACGCCGAGCCGUAUCAGGCGAAGUCACUGAUUCCAUGCUGCCAAGAAAAGCCUCUAGCUAGUUCGCGUGGUGCCCGUACCCCAAACCAACACAGGUGGGCAGGUAGAAAAUACUAAGGCGUACGAGAUAACUAUGGUUAAGGAACUCGGCAAAAUCCAUCCGUAACUUCGGGAGAAGGAUGACCUCGCCAGGGUGAUGACACAAGCUGUCUGAGCUCGAAGAGGUGGCACAAAAUUGGGGAAAGCGACUGUUUACUAAAAACACAGCAGCGUGCUAAGACGUAAGUCGAUGUAUACGCUGUGACGCCUGCCCGGUGCCGGAAGGUUACGGGGAAGGGUUAGCCCUUGAGGCGAAGCUCUGAACCUAAGCCCCGGUAAACGGCGGCCGUAACUAUAACGGUCCUAAGGUAGCGAAAUUCCUUGUCGGGUAAGUUCCGACCUGCACGAAUGGCGUAACGACUUUCCCACUGUCUCAACCAUAGACUCGGCGAAAUUGAAGUACGAGUAAAGAUGCUCGUUAGCUACAGAAGGACGGAAAGACCCCGUGGACCUUUACUACAGCUUGAUGUUGGGUUUUGACAUAUGCUGUGUAGGAUA